AUUGAACGCUGGCGGCAUGCUUUACACAUGCAAGUCGAACGAGUGGCGGACGGGUGAGUAAUGUCUUGGAAACUGCCUGAUGGAGGGGGAUAACUACUGGAAACGGUACCUAAUACCGCCUACCAUCCGUUUUGCCCAGAUGGGAUUAGCUAGUUGGUGGGGUAACGGCUCACCACGUCGACGAUCCCUAGCUGGUCUGAGAGGAUGACCAGCCACACUGGAACUGAGACACGGUCCAGACUCCUACGGGAGGCAGCAGUGGGGAAUAUUGGACAAUGGGCGCAAGCCUGAUGCAGCCAUGCCGCGUGUAUGAAGAAGGCCUUCGGGUUGUAAAGUACUUUCAGCGGGGAGGCGUUACCCGCAGAAGAAGCACCGGCGAACGACGUGACAGCAGCCGCGGUAAUUC
rnacentral:rRNA from 1 species